UGACUGACCGAUAGUGAACCAGUACCGUGAGGGAAAGGCGAAAAGAACCCCGGAGAGGGGAGUGAAAUAGAACCUGAAACCGUAUGCGUACAAGCAGUGGGAGCCUACUUGUUAGGUGACUGCGUACCUUUUGUAUAAUGGGUCAGCGACUUAUAUUCAGUGGCAAGCUUAACCGUAUAGGGUAGGCGUAGCGAAAGCGAGUCUUAAUAGGGCGUUUAGUCGCUGGGUAUAGACCCGAAACCGGGCGAUCUAUCCAUGAGCAGGUUGAAGGUUAGGUAACACUGACUGGAGGACCGAACCCACUCCCGUUGAAAAGGUAGGGGAUGACUUGUGGAUCGGAGUGAAAGGCUAAUCAAGCUCGGAGAUAGCUGGUUCUCC
rnacentral:rRNA from 1 species